AUCUAUCCUAACAAACUCCGAGCCUCGGGCGACGGUGUCCGUGUCAAGAACUGAAGAUGAGUUCUUUGAGUUUAGCUUCAAUCUUCGCUGGUGCUGCUGGUGGCUACCGGAGUCUUGGUGCGUCCGUUACCAUCCGGCGCACUUUAGCGGUCGUUCAUUGUCAUUUUAACAAGCACCAAAACAAGAAUGCUUUAAUUUGGUAUUCACUGAGUUCACGUAAGAGAUCGUUUGGCUGUGAAUCCUCGAGACAGGAAGUUGCUCACUCAACGACCACUUCUUCUGCUAAUGGAUACCUGGACUAUGAUCGAUUGCUUCCAUGUCCUGCACAGAGUAGACCACCAAGAGUUGAGCACUUAGUUGUUUUGGAGGAAGGGCCCGUGCUAGGGUAUAUCUGCAAAGCUCUGGAGCUUCCUCCUUUGUAUGUUGCAGACCUUAUACAGUUUGGAGCUGUGCAUUAUGCCCUUGUAUGCCCACAGCCACCUCCAACUGCUACUCCAGAGCAGAUUAGAUUAUUUGAAGAAUUUACAUCACCGUCAGUUCUUAAGAACAGGGCUUCCAUUAAAGGGAAGACGGUAAGAGAAGCACAAAAAACUUUUCGGAUAAAUCAUGUAGACCAGUUUCUUGAAGUUGGAACAUAUUUGCGUGUUUAUGUACACCCAAAACGCUUCCCAAGGUGCUAUGACAUUGAUUGGCAAUCAAGGAUUAUAGCUGUCACGGAAUCUUACGUUGUUUUGGACAAGCCAGCUGGUACAUCAGUAGGAGGAACUACAAAUAAUAUAGAAGAAAGUUGUGCAACCUUUGCCACUCGUGCGUUGGGAUUAACAGCCCCAUUGAAGACCACCCAUCAAAUUGAUAAUUGCGCGGAGGGCUGUGUUGUGUUAGCUAGGACUAAUGACUACUGCUCAGUUUUCCAUAGAAAAAUCAGACAGGAGAAAACAGUGAAGAAGCUCUAUCUUGCUCUUGCAGCAUCUCCUAUGCCAAUUGGUUUGAUUACUCACUACAUGCGUCCUGUUAAUAUUGCUCCAAGACUCGUUUCAGAAGAAUUUAUGCAAGGAUGGCAAUUGUGCCAACUUGAGAUCUUGGAAUGCAAAAAGGUUCCUUGGCCAGAUGCUAGAACUAUGGAGAAAUAUUCUGUUGAAGACUGUGGGUGGUCCUCAAAAGAUUAUGCAUAUGAGUGUAAGAUCAAUCUUUUGACUGGUCGGACACAUCAGAUUCGAGCUCAACUGGCUGCCUGUGGUGCACCAUUGGUGGGUGACUCAAUCUACAUGCCAGCUGUAAUUGCAGAAAUGACUAACCCUGGGCUUAACCCAUUUGGCAAACACAAAAAACUAUAUGCUAACGAAGAUGAUGAAUCAAUAGCUAUUGCUGAGUGGGUCAAACAGCACAGAAAGGAACCAAAUGUUGCUAUUGGUCUUCAGGCCUGCCAAAUUUCAUGGGAUGAUGGCCAGCAUAUUUAUAAGGCUGGAUCUCCCUGGUGGCAACACAGAAUUGCUUAGAACAGGAUUCUAGGGUUCUGAAUUGCCAGUGCUGCUGAGUCAACUCACUUCUGAAGUGAUUUUUUUUCCUGUACUGUUGGCAAAUAUAAGGUCUAUGAUAUGCAGGCAUGGAUUAUCAAAAGGCAGGGUGCAGCUCUAAUGACAAGGAAUCGAGCGGUUCAUGCCGAUGGUAUUAGAAGAAGCAGCAAGGCAAAUACAACUGUUGAAGAGAAAAUUUUUGGUUACAUUACAUGGUUAGACAUCCUGCUGGAUUCUGCUCUUCAAACUCUAAUGCUAUCCAAUUAAUAGCGAUAUCGACCACAACAUUGUAAUUAAACGGGAUUAAGUGUGAAGAUGAAGAUGGAACCUGGAGUCACUUGUCAGAAUCGGGGAGCGAUAGAGAAAAAUGGCUUCUGUUACAUAGAGCCAGAAAGCUUUAAGCAGAAGGAUUGUUAGAUGAAACGACUACGCUUUCAUGGUCGUUUGAUGACAGAACGGCUGUUUUUGGAAACAAUUAAAAGUUCUGUUAUCGUCAAAUGAUACUACUCCUCUAUUUACUGUGACGUGUGGGGUCGUCAAUUUUUUACCUACUGGUGAGCGAACUGCCCUUUUACGGAAAUAACUGAAAAAUCUGUAUCCGUCAUAUUACGUCAUUAUCCAAUUAUUCCUCAUUAUUAUUA